rnacentral:misc_RNA from 1 species
UCUCCGUUGGUGAACCAGCGGAGGGAUCAUUAAUGAGGUCAAAACCCUCUCCAAACCACUGUGAACCUACUAUAUUUCGUUGUUUCGGUAGGCGGCCCCUGGGGGGGUCCUAGGCCUUUAGGCGCCUACCGGGCGGCACUUCAAAAAAACCUUACAAUUCUUGCUUUCAGCGUAUACCAGCCUGUCUUAAGGGCGUUAUAAUCAAUAAAAACUUUCAACAACGGAUCUCUUGGUUCUGGCAUCGAUGAAGAACGCAAC